rnacentral:rRNA from 1 species
GACGAACGCUGGCGGCGUGCUUAACACAUGCAAGUCGAGCGGUAAGGCCCUUUCGGGGGUACACGAGCGGCGAACGGGUGAGUAACACGUGGGUGACCUGCCCUCAGCUCUGGGAUAAGCCUGGGAAACCGGGUCUAAUACCGGAUAUGACUCCAUGACGCAUGUUGUGGGGUGGAAAGCCUUGUGCGGCUGAGGAUGGGCCCGCGGCCUAUCAGCUUGUUGGUGGGGUNAUGGCUACCAAGGCGACGACGGGUAGCCGGCCUGAGAGGGCGACCGGCCACACU